CACGAAGACCUAUAAUGGAAAUGACAAUUCCGUCUUCAUUGGACAAGACCAUUUCACCUCCUGGCAAGCAUGUAAUCGGAUUAUUUACGCAGUACACACCUUAUAGACCCUCUGAUGGUUGCUGGGAAGAUCCCAAAUACAGAGAAGCAUAUGCACAAAGAUGUUUUUCCUUGAUUGAUCAAUAUGCUUCUGGCUUUAGCUCAUCAAUCAUUGGUUAUGACAUGCUAACACCGCCAGAUCUUGAAAGGGAAUUUGGUCUCACAGGAGGAAAUAUUUUUCACGGUGCCAUGGGUUUGGAUUCACUUUUCUUGAUGCGGC
rnacentral:misc_RNA from 1 species